rnacentral:rRNA from 1 species
AUGCACGCUGGCGGCGUGCCUAAUACAUGCCAGUCGAGCGAACAGAUGAGGAGCUUGCUCCUCUGACGUUAGCGGCGGACGGGUGAGUAACACGUGGAUAACCUACCUAUAAGACUGGGAUAACUUCGGGAAACCGGAGCUAAUACCGGAUAAUAUAUUGAACCGCAUGGUUCAAUAGUGAAAGACGGUUUUGCUGUCACUUAUAGAUGGAUCCGCGCCGCAUUAGCUAGUUGGUAAGGUAACGGCUUACCAAGGCAACGAUGCGUAGCCGACCUGAGAGGGUGAUCGGCCACACUGGAACUGAGACACGGUCCAGACUCCUACGGGAGGCAGCAGUAGGGAAUCUUCCGCAAAGGGCGAAAGCCUGACGGAGCAACGCCGCGUGAGUGAUGAAGGUCUUCGGAUCGUAAAACUCUGUUAUUAGGGAAGAACAAAUGUGUAAGUAACUAUGCACGUCUUGACGGUACCUAAUCAGAAAGCCACGGCUAACUACGUG